rnacentral:rRNA from 1 species
UGGGGAAUUUUGGACAAUGGGCGAAAGCCUGAUCCAGCAAUGCCGCGUGUGUGAAGAAGGCCUUCGGGUUGUAAAGCACUUUUGUCCGGAAAGAAAUCCUUGGCCCUAAUACAGUCGGGGGAUGACGGUACCGGAAGAAUAAGCACCGGCUAACUACGUGCCAGCAGCCGCGGUAAUACGUAGGGUGCAAGCGUUAAUCGGAAUUACUGGGCGUAAAGCGUGCGCAGGCGGUUUGCUAAGACCGAUGUGAAAUCCCGGGCUCAACCUGGGAACUGCAUUGGUGACUGGCAGGCUAGAGUAUGGCAGAGGGGGGUAGAAUUCCACGUGUAGCAGUGAAAUGCGUAGAGAUGUGGAGGAAUACCGAUGGCGAAGGCAGCCCCCUGGGCCAAUACUGACGCUCAUGCACGAAAGCAUGGGGAGCAAACAGGAUUAGAU